UACGUAGGUGGCAAGCGUUAUCCGGAAUUACUGGGCGUAAAGCGCACGCAGGCGGUCUUGUAAGUUUGACGUGAAAGCUCCCGGCUUAACUGGGAGAGGUCGUUGAAGACUGCAAGACUUGAGGAAAUGAGAGGGGUGUAGAAUUCCCGGUGUAGUGGUGGAAUGCGUAGAUAUCGGGGGGAACACCUAUGGCGAAGGCAGCUCGCUGGGACGUUACUGACGCUGAGACGCGAAAGCGUGGGGAGCAAACAGG
rnacentral:rRNA from 1 species